UCAUUUCUCUUUCUUUCUUUCUUUUUUUCAUCAUUUGGGGUGCCUUCACCUCCUAAAAAUCCAACAGACACGACUGUGCUACCUUAUCUAUUUAUCAUGACUUUGAUUCUCUACGCAUUAUGACGCUAGAAUGACGAACAUUCGAUAUAUACUCUAUCUCUUUCUACAUGAGAUGUUGUAUUUGUUUUACUAUUUUUUUUUUCUAUUAUUACACGCAACAUUCUUAUCACAAUAAGAAGACAUUAGAGAUCUUUCUUAUAUUAUUUUCUGAUAUCUCAAGAAUUGAAUAUCUAUUGAAAGAGAUUCAUAAGAUAGUUAUACCGAAUACGAUAGACGUUAUCAAGACCAAGGAUGUAUACCCGACCAAAAGACAAGAAACGGAAGACGAAGUUGAAUCGUGUCUACGAGUAUCCAAAGUAACAAAUAUCGCUUGCUAGUAUUUAUUUUUUUACCAUUAAUUUAUUUCACUUCUUCAUUAUCGACAGUGCAAAUGUAUCAUAACGUUAUGUUUAAUAUUCUUUGUUGUAUAAAUAAAUAUUUAUUGUUUUUAUAAUAUAAUGAUUUAUUCGUAAUGUUAUCGUUUAAUUAGAAGAACGCGAAAUUAAAAUAAGAUCCUUUUUUUUCUUUUACUUUAUUAUUAUUCUCGGAAAUGUAUAGAAAUUGUAAAUUUUUAACUAUAUAAUUGUAAUUGGUCUCUCUCGAUUCUUAUAAUUAACUAUCGCACGAAUACGAAAAGAAAACAUCAGAAUGGCAGAUAACUUUACAACGUCUCUUUUUAAACUUUGUUCAUAUCGAAGAAUGAAGAUAAUGCGGAAUCUCCUAUCAAUUCUUAUUCUGUUCGGCCUAUUAACCGGUGCCGGUUGUAAAACUAGUUUCCAAAAAAAGGAAGAAUCUUAAAUGGAUACGCACGGCUAUUCUCCAAGUAAACGUAGAAAGCUAUUUUGAAGCGACAUCCAUUGGUACGUUAGAGCUGACUAUUGGCUUUUUCUACUAAAAAUUUGAAGAUCCUUAUGAAUUAACCAAUUUUUCCGCAACAAAGAAAUAGGAAUUUAAAUUUGACAAUUCUAAGACAUUGAUUGUUAAGAAAUUAAUAGCGAUAAAUUCCAAGGGAGAAAAUUUGCUAUUAGACAAUAUCCUGGAAAUACAAAUGCGUUUGAAUGAAAAAUAAUAUAAAUAAAACAUUACACAAUGAACUGUAUUUAACGAUUAAUAAACAAAAUAAUAAAUCGAAGUAUUUUCUAAGGUGAAAACACAAAAUAUCAUUAACAAAAUAAGAUAUUAUAACAAUAAAUCAAUAGUAAAGCUAAUCGAAAGUGAAACGAAUAAGUUUCGAAUGAACAGGAUAUUAAAUGUUUUGAUUUCAAAGAAAAAAUUAAUGUAGAGUUCAGGAAAAACAUCUCGUAUUCAUACGCUGACCUACUUCCAUAUGAUCGCUUUCUCCAUCACGAUUGAAAAGAAUUGGACGAAAGAGACGUGCGUGAUGAGGAACCACUUCGUUUAUGAUAGGUUCCUGCUAGAUUCGUGUUUAUGUACGUGUAAAAGAGAGAAUUAAAAGCAAGUCCAAAAGGAA